CAUUGCUUUAUUGUAUUUAAAUACCAAUUAUUUUUGUUAUAAGAAAAAAGUUAUCAAAACCUGUUAUACUGUAUUAUGGCCACUUUCUUGAAGCUAAAUGUCAGUAUCAUGAUAAUACCUUAUACAGUGAUAAAAGCAAAAUUUGUUACUGGCAUAUCCCUACUUUUAAGAGGUAAAUGUACUGUAAAAUUCUCUCCCUUUCACCACUCACAGAAACACUCCUAGAAACCUUUCACACAUGCAUGUACUAUUUUACAUUCACAUGCUUAAUGUGGUGGUAUGCAACACUCAUAUUUCGCACUCACUUACAUGUAUAUGUCUGUAAUGACAGAUUUUUAGGGGCAAAGUACCUCCACACACAAUCAUACCGCAUAUAAUGCAAGAUCUCAAAAGACAUGGCUUAGUAUGGUGAAAAAAACAUCCAGAAAGACACACACAGAGGACACACAGCAUGAGUUAGUCAUAAAUAUUCAGUAUGGGAUGAUGAAGUCUCGAGUGUAAUGGAUCAGGCUGGAUCCUGGUCACGUACUGUAUAGACAGAUUGAGGGAUAAAAGAUGGAGUCAUUACUAUGCAGAACAGAUUGUGCAUCUGUGUGUGUGUGUGUGUACAUGCAUUUAAAUGCUGACUCCUGCUCUGUUGAACUCCACAGCUCAUGAGGACCUCAUACAUGAAGCAUGAACUUGUGCAGCUGCCUUUUAUCGAACAUAACCAGUGUGAGUGCAGGCUAAAAGCAAAUCUUUAUGCAGAGCCAACCAGGCAAGGCCUACAGACAGCAAGAAAAGGUAAAAAGCGGCAAAGGGGGAAACCAAAGCGAAAGAAACACUUGGGGAAAAAGCCGACUCUAGUGCCAACUACACCCCCUCCUCCUCCCCCUCCCACUCUACCGCCUAGCUCCGCCCCUCCACCACCUGCCAGAGAGGCGUGUCCACCAUGCCCCACCCGCAGAAUGACAUCACAGCCUCCCUCCUGUGAAUGCAGGUGCAGUUUGAGGGAGGUGAGCUGUACAAAAAGAGGGAAGACACUCAACCAGCACAGCUGCCGAUGUGAAACCCAAAGCGAAUAG
rnacentral:lncRNA from 1 species